rnacentral:rRNA from 1 species
GACGAACGCUGGCGGCGUGCCUAAUACAUGCAAGUCGAGCGAUGAUUAAAGAUAGCUUGCUAUUUUUAUGAAGAGCGGCGAACGGGUGAGUAACGCGUGGGAAAUCUGCCGAGUAGCGGGGGACAACGUUUGGAAACGAACGCUAAUACCGCAUAACAAUGAGAAUCGCAUGAUUCUUAUUUGAAAGAAGCAAUUGCUUCACGACUUGAUGAUCCCGGGUUGUAUUAGCUAGUUGGUAGUGUAAAGGACUACCAAGGCGAUGAUACAUAGCCGACCUGAGAGGGUGAUCGGCCACACUGGGACUGAGACACGGCCCAGACUCCUACGGGAGGCAGCAGUAGGGAAUCUUCGGCAAUGGGGGCAACCCUGACCGAGCAACGCCGCGUGAGUGAAGAAGGUUUUCGGAUCGUAAAACUCUGUUGUUAGAGAAGAACGUUAAGUAGAGUGGAAAAUUACUUAAGUGACGGUAUCUAACCAGAAAGGGACGGCUAACUACGUGCCAGCCGCCGCCGUAA